AUUUUCUUGUUUAUGUAAUUUUUUCUUCUUACAGUUUCAUGUGAUCUUAGAAAAAAAUUGAGUCGACUCUUGACUCUUCCCAGUUAGUUGCGUAGUUCUGUAUGAAGCUUCACUUUUUUCUUCGCUAUCGGUUUGUUCCAUUUCUGUGCUGCUUAGGUGCACCGUUAGAAGGCCUCUUUUAUGCCAUUCCUGUGCAACUUAGUUGCAAGGAGAAAAAAGCAUCUUUUGAGGUCAAAAGAAGCAUUGGGAUGUAAUAUGGUCUGGUCGAUUUUGGGGGAUACCUGAGUGUGCUGAGCCUCUUGGAGGAACUUACUGGAAUUUAUUCUUGCCUUUUCAAAUAGUAAGGUCCUACGCUCUUGGUAGCCAUCUAUUCAUUUUUUGCCUUGGAUACAUUCAUUGACUUAAUUCUUGCCUUUUCAAAGUCGAUAAGGGAUAGUUUCUCCUUUUUUCUAGUUAACCAUGUGAUUAUCGUGGGGGAAAUCUUCAAAAGAAGUGAAGAAUAAAACAAAACGGGGAAGUUUCAUUGAUACACGACAUAGGAAAUGCAUUAGGCCAGGAGCUCCUCGAAGAUGUCGUCGUGAUACUACUUCUGAAAGAAUAUCUCAAUCAAGGGACAUUCACAAUCACCAUCGUCACAAGUGUUGUGCUCCUUAAGUUUUGCUGCUAAACCUAGGCCAAACCACUUCCUUUUCUAGUGGGUCACCUUGCUAAUCUUUAUCUUGCUAAUUUUUAACCAGUGCAUUAAUAGAAUUGGAAACUGAUGGAGGUUCCAAUCUUCUUUGUUACCGCCCAUCCCUGAACCUGCACUCGUACCAAAUGGGCCACCUGUUACAGAUGGUGAGGAGACCUGGCAACUGCUGCUACUCCCUGUGAUGGUUCCAGUAAUAUGGAGGUUCAUCCCACUCACAUCUCCUAAGCCCUCAAGCAUCUGAUUAUGAGAUUGGGAUUAAAUCUGAUACAGGUAGUCCUUCCAGGUGACUUGGCCUGUCACAAACAGCAAUUUUUUUUUUUUUUUUUGAAUAUUCAACUUGAAAUAUUUCCUGUUUAUAUAAGCGGAUUUAUUUCCUUCCUACAAUUCCUUCAUGUUUAUUUUUUGUUGAUGUAAUCUCAGAAGAAAAUAUGAACUGACUCUUUAACUCUUACAAGUUUAACUGAUUCUGUUAAAAUCAUUUCCAUAGUUUUGUAUGAAGUUGCACUCUUUCUUGGCGAUCGGUUUGUUCCAUUCCUAUGCAGUUUAGGUGCAAGGAGAAGGCCUCUUUUGUGCCAUUCCUGUGCAGCUUAGGUGCAAGGAGAAGAAGGCCUCUUUUGAGGUCAAAAGAACACUUGCAUGCACCAUAGGGAUAAUAUUAUACCUUCAUGUCCCUGCAACACCUGCUGUUGUUAGUUGCAUGGUGUUAUAUGAAGCUGCACUCUCGGUCUGGGAUAGGUUUGUGCCAUUCUUGUGCAGCUUAGGAGCAAGGGAAAAAAGACCUCCUUUGUGCCAUUCCUGUGCAGCUUAGAUGCAAGGUGAAGAAGGCCUCAUUUGAGGUUAAUGGAACUUUUGCACGCAUGUGCAUAGGGAUGUCAUAUGGCCGAUCUAUCUUUGGGGAGACAUUGCCCACGUACCUUAAAUUUUAGAAUGUUUAAGCAAUAAGUUUUUCCUUUUAUAUUUAACCAUGUGGUUGAGGUGGGGGAAGUCUUCGAACGUAGUGAAGAACAAAGCAAAAUAGGAAGUUUCAUCACUACACUACAAUGAUCAAGUCAAUUGACGAUGAUGAAAUAUAUUGUAUGGGACGUUAAGCAAUGUCAACCAUCGGGAAAUGGAAUGUGAAAAUGAGAGAGGAGGGGCAAUGUAUAUGGUUAAGUGUCUAUAUCAGCAUUACCUUUAAAAUGACAAUGAGGAAGACUAUUAUACAUAUUGUGAUAAUGCUCCAUUCACUUUACUAACACAUACAACAUAGUGAUACAGCGCUAUGGUUUUGAAUUAAACUCUCUCACAUGUUUGCAUGUGAAUUUGGACUAUUUAUUGUGUUAAAUAAAUUUUUGGGCUAGGCA